rnacentral:tRNA from 1 species
GCUGAUUUAGUUUAGUGGUAAAACAGAUGCAUGGUAAGCAUCAGAGGACCGUUCAAUCCGGUCAUUCAGCACCA